GAAAAUUUUCUUUAUUCAAAACUCCACUCACUCUUCUCUCUCCCACUAUCUGCUCUAAUAAUUAUAUUUUUCCCAUUCCAAUAAAUCUCUUCCAUCCAUGCCUAAUCAAAAUUCUUCAACCGCCCCCCACCACUUUCCAAGGAAAACUCUGCACAGCUCCCAUUAACAUUUGAAUUUCAAAAUCAAAAUUAUGAGAAAUUUAUAUCUAAAUCCUUUCCCAACAAGCCUUAUUCAAAUCUCCCUAUUCCCAUCUCCAAGCUCCAUUCACGAGACAGGGAGACGAAAAUGAGAGAUCAGACGAAGGAGAACUAGAGAUGGCUUCUGGGUUCAGUGGUUUAUGGGUUCUUCAUUCGCUAGCUAGCUUCAAUUGAAGGAGACGAAGAUGAGAGCUCCGAUCGAAGAUCCUUCUGCUGGCUUCGGUUGUAGGGAGAUCCUGGUUUUCAUGUUCCAUUGAUUCCAGCUUUGAAAGUAUUUUCUAGGUUUCUCCGCGCGCUGGAUGACACCUUCCUUCCUCUGUUUUUCAUCUAUGCCUCUUCCUCAAUCAUUAUAGUGAAGAAUCUGUAUUACAUUUGAUUUAUCAUAUAUUCAAAUUCGAUUGCAUCAGCUGUUUUCAGAAUGAGUCAUAGUUGGACACCGGUUUUAGCAUUUUUGGUGCUGCUAGAUGAUUUUUUGGCGUGGCAGUAGGUAACCAACAUACUUUCUCUUUUACAUUAGUUGUCUUUUUAUACUCAAGCUAGAAUAUCAACAUAUUUUUUGUGCUGCUAGAUUGAACUUAUUAUCAAGUAGUAUUUUUAAUUGAUGUUGCCACUUCUCAGUUUCUUCUUUGUUUGGUGGUUCUUUACAUUUGGAAUGGAUAUGAAGGUGAGGACACUUUGAAAGUUUGAGUUCAUUUUCCUUUAAUUUUUAAAUUAGGUGGAAGCUCUCCUUUUCCCCCACUUUUUUACUCUAUUCUAUCUUUUGUUGUAAUUUGUUUUCAUUUCUCUCUGCAGGGAAGAGGUUUGUAAAGUCAUCCAAUGCUACAAGGGAUACGAAUACUGGACUAGAGGUUCAUUUUCAGGAUUUUUAGUUCAUAAUUGAUGCAGUAUGGACACAAAUAUACUGAAAUAUGUUGAAGAAGCUUUAUCCAAAAGGUUUCUACGCAGUCUACUGUGAAAAUUGGAUAGAUGUUGAGGGGUCAGUUUCUGAUUUUGAACUCGCUGUGGUGAUCUCUGCUACUAGGCAUAGCCUACAAAAUUUUUGGAUGCAUGAGUUUUAGGUGAAGUGCAUAAUGGUUGGUUCAUAGAGAAGGACAUUUGGGGUAUUCCAUGAGAGAGCUUGAGCAUAAAAGAGGUUAGAGAAGCAAGCCAUUGAGAGAGCGUGGUUCAUUUAAAUUCCCAUUUUUUUGGCUGCAGAUUGCAUAAAUGGGGGCAAGCCAUUGAUAGCAAUCCAACUUCUAACUUUUGUCAUUCCUAACUAGUAUCUAAACCCGUGCUUUGCACGGUGAGUAUGUUACCAAAUUCUUUUUCAAACAACAUGUUUCCUACAUAUAUAAUAUCACAACUCAUUAUUGUGAAA